CCCCUUGAACACUGAGCAGAAGGCUGGGGCUGAGGGAGGCAGAGUAGAGGGGAAGGCAGGCUGGAGGAGAGGCAGGGACAGGGAGAGCCCAGGCCGGGGUAGGAGCUCCGAGGCUGGGGGAGGAAAGUGUGAAGGUGGAAGGGCGGGGUGGACACAGGCUAAGGUGGGAGAAAGGUGAAGAUGAGGAGAGGCCGCGAUUAAGGUGCCAUAGCUGGGAGAGGAAUGCUAGGCGGGUUAAAGACGAGGGAUAAGGUUAGGAGAAAGUGUCACAUGGAGGAGGAGGAGGAGGAGGAGGAGGCCAGGUAGGCAAGAUAAAGUGAUAGUGAAGAAGAACUGGGAGACAACUGAGACUAGGGUGGCAAAGGUUGAAAUAGUCAGAAAUAAAUCACGUUUGUGCUGAAUGAGUGUUAGGAGAAGACUGUUUUUAGGCUGAAGAAGAUGUCUAAACCAGUUAAGGUAUAAGACCUAGACUGGGCUGGAGGUGAGACAGGUAGCAAGACAACCAGAAACCAAAAUAUGGGCAGAAAAAGUCCCAGCUUUACGAAAGGGGGAGUCUUUUUUUUGCUUUUCCUGCCAUGGAUGUAAUGCAUGAUUUGGACAGCGGCCGACGUCCAAUCAGACAACAGGACCGUAGGCCUUGUCAUAACGACAACCAUGACAUCACUGCAAGGGCGAGUGGAAAGAAGACAUGCGGAGCUCCAGACAGAUAGAGCGGGGCUCCGCUGGGGCUGCACGCCGGACAGAGCGAGCCGAAUGCCGGAUAGAAGCCGCGCGGACUACCGGGAGGUGAUGGAUGGAACGCAGCGCAGGGCGCCGCUCGGACGUUUCGCGGCCGGCGUUCGGUGCUCUGUCUUCGGACAAGUUGAGCGUUCCUCACCGCGGGGGGUGGAAGACAUGGAGGAGCAGAAAUGGCAUCUUGUUUAAUUUCUGCCAAUCAAGACGAGAGGAAGACAACUCCCAAACUGGCAUGAUGUAACAGGAGAGUGGAGACACGAUCAAGAGACCUGGACAAUGCGUGAACCGGAUGGGAAAAUGGGAACUGAGGAGCAGCGGCUGCUGUAAUCUCCGCUGUUCAAUUAGCUGCGCUGACCAGAACGCCACCUACACUUCAUUAACAGGGAGGGGAAGGUGGAUCAUCGGGCCAGUCGGAGUACAAGACACGGAGAGCGAAUGAAAGCUUGCUGUCAGUAGUGUGAACCAUUUCCAGGUGAAGCAAACUGAAUUAAAUUGAAUCCAGCUGAACGGGAAUGACCUGAACUGAACUGAAACGAAAGCUUCAGCUGGACAGGACACUUUGCUCUCUGAGGUUUCGGGGAAAAAAAUGUUCAGGCAGAGAAAACCCUUGUAAUAAUACAGAUGAAAACCUACUGCCAUUGAUGCCUGUUGUUUUGGGGGGUUUCCUUGCUGGACUUGCAGUUUAAUCACAUUUACAUUAUGUUCUAUGACAUGACAUUAAUAUUUGAACAUACUUGGAGUACUUAUAUUAAAUGUAAACUUCAAAGCUGCUAUAAUUGAUAUUUUAUGAUAAUGCAUCAAAUGAAAAUGUGAAAUGAGUGUGAUAAUGUGAAAGGGGUCGCUUGUAGUGAUGAACCUGCAGCUCCUCUCUGCUUUACAGAGUUUUACAGUGAGUUUCAGCUCAUUGUUUAGCUUUCCGGCCCACAACUUUACUGUUUUGAUUCACUGUCACUGCUCUCAUAGCGUCAUUUUCAGCCUAUUUUCAGUGAAAAUGCUCUAAAAACCCACUGUACACUACCUGCUCAGCACCAAACGGUUAGCGACUAUAGCUAAGUAUCACAGUGGAGCAUUUAGCAGCUAAAGAGCCAGAUAUUUCCCUCAGGAGUUGGUAGAGACCAAAAACAGAGCAAAAAGGAGAGUUAAUAUUGGACUUAAAGUCAUCAGGUGGGCGCAAACACGACUCUAAAUGAAUCAUAUUGUUACUCCGUACCUGCUGGAUGUGUAAAUCAGCAACUGUUUGCUAACAGGUUCAUCACAUUAUGACAUGUCAAUUUUAUGUUCAUAAAUGUUUUCUGCAAGUGGCAAAGAAAGUCAGUUCUUGCAGGUUUAAAUAAAUAACAACUAUACAUUAGCCUUUGUAAUACAGUUGGUUUUCUCACACAAGAUUUUCUAUUUGAAAAGCUAAAACAUGUCUCUAAGUCUUUCUGUCCACAUUUGAAGUUGAAUGUGUAUCUACUACUGUACUAGAUAGUUAAAGGUCCCGUAUCAUGCUCAUUUUCAGGUUCAUACUUGUAUUUUACGUUUCUACUAGAACAUGUUUACAUGAUGUAAUAUUAAAAGAAAAAACUUAAUUUU